UACGUAGGGUGCAAGCGUUAAUCGGAAUUACUGGGCGUAAAGGGCUCGUAGGCGGCCAACUAAGUCGGACGUGAAAUCCCCAGGCUCAACCUGGGAACUGCGUCCGAUACUGGAUGGCUUGAAUUCGGGAGAGGGAUGCAGAAUUCCAGGUGUAGCGGUGAAAUGCGUAGAUAUCAGGAGGAACACCGGUGGUGUAGACGGCUUUCUGGACCGACACUGACGCUGAAACACGAAAGCGUGGGUAGCAAACAGG
rnacentral:rRNA from 1 species